UAUUCACUUCCUCGUUGGAUUCCAACCUCUGCGUUCUCGAUUUCUUAUGCCGGUGCGCGACAGACGCCGCCGCCGCCUUUGAUCUCGUCAUCGGUGGAUCCCGACUGAGCGCUAUCACCUCUCCCUCUCUCUCUAAUUUGCCAAAUUGUAGUAUUUCCCCAUCAUCGAAUCGCUUGCGAGUUAGCAUCUUGUUUUCGAGUAUGUCCGCCCUCAAUGAUGGCAGUUCGUCCCCUCGAUCGCAGGUCACCAUUGAGCAGCGUGCCUCUCGAUGCUUCGAUGAUCUCCUCGAAUCCAUCAUCGUGGAUGUCGCAUCGGAAUGCCAUCGGAUAGCGAGGUUGGGCCUAGACCUCAAUCUGGAAGUGGAAGAGGAGGAGCUUCGGCUCUCCGCGCAAGCCCGGAUGGCGGAUCCUAGCUGCAGUAGUGAAUCAAAUAGCAAAAAUGUGGUGGACAUCUUCGGCCAGACUCAUCCACCCAUCGCUAGCGAGACCUUCAACUGCAUGAACUGUGGUCGGCCUGUCACGGCUGGAAGGUUCGCUCCUCACCUAGAGAAGUGCAUGGGCAAGGGCCGUAAGGCGCUCUCGAAGAUCACCAGAAGCACUACAAUUGCAAGAAACCGGCAUGCUCGUGGCAGUCCAGUGACGGUCUAUGCUCCAUAUUCCACUAGUACUAACAGUAACAUAGUUCCCGAAGGCACUCCAAGGACAGCCAGGGAGGAAUUUGCAGAAUACACAUUCGAGGAGCCGUGACAUUUCUUCAAAGGACCGCUAGUUCACCCGCUCGUUCAGUUUAAGAAAUGGUAGCCCGAGGAGCAAAAAGGACCCAUGUUAACUGCAACAAGAAUGGGGUUAAGAUUUGGGUAGUCACAUGACGAACUUACAUUGUAAGAGGAAAGAUUUGCAAAUGGAAAAACAAGAGAGAAUUUAUAGAAGCAGCAUAUUUUCAAUAACCGACUCUAAUCUACUUGCCCAAAUCUCCAAGUUGAGCUCACCUGACAUGAGCAACUGCUAGAGAAGAAGACUCGGUAAUGAAGGUGCUUGAAUCCUUUUAUUUUUGUGCCAAUACAUUGUUUCUUUAUAUCACUCUCCGAUUUUCCUAACUAAAGCUGAAUACUUGAGUUGAAUAUUUCAAGAUACAGAUGGAAGCUAGAUUUGCAUUCCCUCUUUUUUUAAAGAGCCUACUGUUUUAUCAUAUUCAUCCAGUCCAUUCAACUUCAAGAUGGUUCAUUCCCCUUAUCAAGUUCAUGAAGAUUAUGAGGUGCGCAUUGUCCAAAAAUUGCUAUUGAGAAUUCCGGAUCGGCGCUUAGUUCACAGAUUCAUGUAAACCUUUUUCAUGUUGAACCCGUGCAGCAUGUUGUUUUCACUCAUCAAAGCUGAAGUUUGUCAAACUGAAUUUAGCUGUUGUUUUUGUUUGCUUGAGCCACAAAUGGUUGCAUUAAAUACAAAGAGCAUUUGUAUC